UCUUACAAGUGCUCCCAGGGUCUCUGGGACUUCCAGCAGCUGGAAGUGGGCCCCUCGCAGCCCCCGCCUCCAUUCCAGGUGAAGCAGGGUGCCCUGCAAUGGGCUGGGCGUGUGCCCACGGCUGAAAGCUGGGCUGCUUUGAAGGCACCAGAUUGGAAUUCAGGGGAAGUGAAAGCAAGAGGAAUCGAAGUGCUUUACUUAUUGGGAAGGCCAAUAAGAAUAACGAAGGACUUCAUCUGGCACUUUUAUUAACACCAGGCACAUCUACAUGUGUAAAUGCUGCUGGAUGGGUUUACUCCUCGGAAAUUUGACAGCAGCGUGCCCUGGCCAGGACACUUCUGAGCAUGCCUCACCCACCUGGACACACAGAAGAGUGCUGGGAAAAAUGCUCCAUUAUGGCCAUCUGCAACUGCUCCUGAGAUCUCAGUCUCUUUCAUGCUUAAGAGUGGCAGCUGGAGAACACCCUGAAGCAGCCUCACUAGUGUACUUCUGGCUUUGCAGUUUGGGUAUAGCAUUCGUGUGGAUGCUCUGCUGUGCUACUGCAUUGUAGACAUGUCCCAUGGACCUCUGAGUGUUCCACCACCGCACUCACCUUAUUGUGACAUCUCUUACAUGCUGUGUAUUUUCUACCCAAGUCUUGCCAUAUUCCCUCCUGCCUUAAGCUGGGGACCUAGAAGAAGUAAUUAUUGCAAGUUUUGUUAUAGAGAAAAUAUUACUAAUGGCAGCAUUGUCAAGAAUGAAAACUCAGAGAAAUCACAAGACUACCAUAAAAUUCAUGACAUUUAAAAAAAAAAGACUACAUCUUGAGUAAUUUUAAUUGCCAACUGGUUUCUGGGUUAUGUACUUGCUUAAUCCUUCAUACAAACAUGAGUGAGGCAGUGGGAUAGACUGCCUAGGGAAGUUGUGGACUCAAACACUGGAGGUACUCAAGAAGAGGUUGGACGGCUUCUGGUCAGGGAUGAUCUCGGCAUAGCUAUGUCUGUGUUCUACUAUGGAUAUUUCCUGUGCUUCUAGGUUUUGCUGGUUGCCCCUGCCCCCCUCCCCUGCUUUCUACUAUAUGUGUCAGGGUGUUUUUAAGCUUUCCUCAGAGGCAUUAGGUGUUGGCUACAGCCAAGGCUGGGGACUUUGGCUGGGUUGUGCCAGUGCUCUUGCUUGACCAAAGCCAGAGGUUCCUAGCAGAGGGUCUUGCCCCUCCAGGCAGGGUCAUACCAAUCAUCAUAUUGGAGAGCAGGAAGGAAUUUUACCUCAUGGGAAGAUUGGUGUGGACUGUGGGGGGUUUCGAUCUCCUCUGUAGCUGGGAGUAUAACCCUCUACCCAAGAUCUCUUGAGCAUAUAUUGACAAUAUUUCAUAGAAGCAGGGUAUUAGCUGCUGUGGUUCCCCUGCUUUACCUGUGGCAGGCUAGAAUGUUAGGUUUGUGUUAUGUCAGAGUUAUGUCUUAUGUAGAGUUAUGUCUUAUGUUUAAAUUAUGGUUUGUAUGGGAUGGCGUGGAUAGGAAUGAUCCUGCCUCAGGCAGGGGGUUCGACUAGAUGACCUCUGGAGGUGCCUUCCAUCCCUAUUUCCCUAUGAUUAUAUCAUUUUAUGAUUCUAUGAGGAAUAGGGUACAAAAUAUUGGAUCCAGGCUAGCUCCUAUACUGGAAGCAAAGUAACCAUGUAAAUGCAGUGCUGUACCUGUGCCAAUAUGCUCUGCUGAAGAACAUCAAGACUCACAAUAAAAUUAUGGGAAUGGGGCAGUGCUGUACUAGUAAAUACAUUUGUUCUACUGAGUCCCUCAGUAUUGCAGAUUUAACAACUCCAACAUACUCUCUUUAGGGCAAAAGGACUCAGGGGAAGAUCCCUUUGCAUCCUGCAUUAAGAACUGAAAGCACAAGCGUGUAGCUGUGUGGCCUACAUUAUAUGAAGCAGAGCAUUGCCCUCAAGAGCAAUAGGUUCCCCAUUGAAUGGUUGAAAUGAGCCAUUAUGCAAGCUGUCAGUGUUGAUGAUGUAUCUUUAUUUUAGACAUCCUUCAAUGAAAGUCAAGCUAAACCCUAUUGUACCAUAUUUUAGAUUGCUUAAGAUAUUGUGGUGCCAGUUUUCAUUAUUAUUGAUGCUAAACACUUUAAGAAUAUUUCUGGCUUGUAUAAAAGGUCUUGAAAUAUUUCAAUGAUUUAUGAAGCAAAUAGCCUUGCUGGAUAUCUGUGAAAUGCCCCUGAUGGAUUCAGUGAAUGCAGAAGUAAGCGCCCAUUAUGUUACCUAGAACAUAGUAUCUUACUGGUUUUUGUUCCAUUAACAAGCUGUGAAAAAGUCAUGACAGUGCUUUUAGCUGUAAAACAUUUUAGAGUGUACUCUGUUUUUAGAAGAUUUGUACUCUGUUUUUAGAAGAUUAAUUCUACCUGAAAUAGCGUGGCAAAUGAUAAACAACUUAAAAGACAGAGGAGGUAUCAUAUUACUACUCAAAAGAGGCUUGGAUCAUGUGUUGUGUAGCAUCUCAGAAAAAAUGUUACCAUAUCACAGGAUAGGAUUUAACUUGUUUGCACUGCUGGACUUGCCAGACUCUCCUCUCAGAACAGAGUUCAGAAAAGUGAAAUAAUUUCCUUCCUGGGUAAAAACAUAAUCUGAAAAAAAACCUCCUACUUUUCCCCCUCUGAGCAUCCUACCAACCAUUUUCACUGAUUCCUGGGAUAACCUCCUCCUCACAAUAACCCUCAGUGCCCUCUGUCUGCUUGUAUAUAAAAUGGCUGAGCUUGGUUUUCCCAGAACUUUAACCUUCUUCUGUCUGUUCCAUAAAUGUUGCCAAUUUUCAUGAGAAAGGGAGGAGUUUUGAAUGGAGUCUAUUAUCAGUUGGCCAAAGCAAGCUGGUAAUUAGUGACUGGGUUGUAUAGUUGAAGGUCUGGUCUAUACGAUCUCUGUGUGUCAGCAUUUAGAACAAAAGCUCACACGUGCAGACACAGAUGCACUCACGCGUGCGCGCGCACGCGCACACACACACACACACACACACUCUUUUUUAUAUCAGAAAAGCUCAUCUUGGUAUGCUUGGCUGGCUGGACCUAAACUUGAGUGCCUGGAUAUAUAGCUCAUAAUAAAUACCAUUGCAUAACAUGAAUUGUAAAGAAAUAGUUUCCCUUUUUUCCAAUACACUGAGGAGGGACAGGAAACAUUGUAUUAGACCAUGUGUAGAUGAAAUGAGGGGCGUGUAUACAUGACACUUAAAAGUGGGCUAAAUGCUUUUGCAUUGCUUUAAUGGUGUCGGUGUUUGCACACCUCAGUGGCAUAUUGCACGUUAAUUCCAGCCGCUGUAGGAAAUUCAGCAGUGUAAUACGCCUUAAAUGACUUGAGGAGCUGCAAACUAAAACUCCUCAAAGGAGUGCGAAGCACUGGGCUCUGUGCAGCUCCAUGGCUCUGCAGGAAGCCCUGCAGGCAGCCUGGCAGCAGCCCAGGAAGGCAAGCUCUGCCCAAGAAAAGUGGCGAGCCUGAUGUUCCCCCCACACCCUGGAGACUGCCUGAGCUGCAUGGAAGCUGCUUCCCUCCGCAGCUGUGGUGCCUCUUAGGACCGCCUUAGCCGGGUGCCUGCAGGUGGGUGCCACCUGAGGGGGGCUGCUGCUGCCAAGAAGGGAAGCACCAGCCCCCCUACUGCAACCCAGGAACCGCUCUGCCCGCCGGCAGCUCGCCCUCCCCUUCCUGCCAUCGGAGAAGCAGGUAAGUGCAGGGUACGUGCAUGACACGGGGGUUCAUUUCACCCUAAAUUGAAGCGUUGGUUUUAAAAACGUUAAUUUACACACACCCUUAAAGAAACUGUAGUUUAAACACCAGUGAGCAAACUGAUUAUUUUUGCGCACCUAAUUUUGCAUACUUGAAGCCAUGGGACAUGUAAAAUCAUAGUUGUCCAAAACACUUGGUUGCUCAAAUUUAGAGGCUAGUUUUGUAAAAUGGAUGCAAAAAGUCCACAGUGAAAUUGGAAACAUUUUUCAGAUGACUCCAAUGUGAGAUGUGAAUUCAAGGACAGCGGCUCUUCUGUUAUAUGCGCAUACCAUACUUUAUAGACUGUGUAAACUUGCUUAUCCAUGAACUACUAUAAUUCAUGAUAGAUUAUUAAAAAUACAUGAAAGAUAUUAAGAACUGCAUAGAUUACUGAAAGGAUUUUAAAA